rnacentral:rRNA from 1 species
AUUGAACGCUGGCGGCAGGCCUAACACAUGCAAGUCGAGCGAGCGGCGGACGGGUGAGUAAUGUAUGGGGAUCUGCCCGAUAGAGGGGGCUGACUGCUGGAAACGGUAGCUAAUACCGCAGACUAUCGGGUGAUCCUAUUUGGGAUUAGCUAGUUGGUGAGGGAAUGGCUCACCAAGCGACGAUCCCUAGCUGGUCUGAGAGGAUUAUCAGGCACACUGGGACUGAGAUACGGCCCAGACUCCUACGGGAGGCAGCAGUGGGGAAUAUGGCGCAAUGGGGGCAACCCUGACGCAGCCAUGCCGCGUGAAGGAAGAAGGCCUUCGGGUUGUAAAGUUCUUUCGGUAGCGAGGCGUUAACUACAGAAGAAGCACCGGCUAACUCCGUGCCAGCCGCCGCGGUAAUAC